UGGGGAAUUUUGGACAAUGGGCGAAAGCCUGAUCCAGCAAUGCCGCGUGUGUGAAGAAGGCCUUCGGGUUGUAAAGCACUUUUGUCCGGAAAGAAAUCCUUGGCUCUAAUACAGUCGGGGGAUGACGGUACCGGAAGAAUAAGCACCGGCUAACUACGUGCCAGCAGCCGCGGUAAUACGUAGGGUGCAAGCGUUAAUCGGAAUUACUGGGCGUAAAGCGUGCGCAGGCGGUUUGCUAAGACCGAUGUGAAAUCCCCGGGCUCAACCUGGGAACUGCAUUGGUGACUGGCAGGCUAGAGUAUGGCAGAGGGGGGUAGAAUUCCACGUGUAGCAGUGAAAUGCGUAGAGAUGUGGAGGAAUACCGAUGGCGAAGGCAGCCCCCUGGGCCAAUACUGACGCUCAUGCACGAAAAGCGUGGGGGAGCAAAACAGGAUUAGAUACCCCUGGUAGUCCACGCCCCUAAAACGAUGUCAACUAGUUGUUGGGGGAUUCAUUUUCCUUAGUAACGUAGCUAACGCGUGAAGUUGACCGCCUGGGGAGUACGGUCGCAAGAUUAAAACUUAAAGGAAUUGACGGGGUCAUAGCUGUUUCCU
rnacentral:rRNA from 1 species